UGGGGAAUCUUGCGCAAUGGACGAAAGUCUGACGCAGCGACGCCGCGUGGGUGAUGAAGGCCUUCGGGUUGUAAAGCCCUGUGGGGAGGGACGAAUAAGUGGUGGCUAAUAUCCACCAUGAUGACGGUACCUCCUUAGCAAGCACCGGCUAACUCUGUGCCAGCAGCCGCGGUAAGACAGAGGGUGCAAACGUUGUUCGGAAUUACUGGGCGUAAAGCGCGUGUAGGUGGCGAGGCAAGUCGGGUGUGAAAGCCCUGGGCUCAACCCAGGAAGUGCACUCGAUACUGCCUAGCUAGAGUCCCGGAGAGGUUGGUGGAACUCUCGGUGUAGAGGUGAAAUUCGUAGAUAUCGAGAAGAACACCGGUGGCGAAGGCGGCCAACUGGACGGUGACUGACACUGAGACGCGAAAGCGUGGGGAGCAAACAG
rnacentral:rRNA from 1 species